rnacentral:rRNA from 1 species
UACGAAGGGGGCUAGCGUUGCUCGGAAUCACUGGGCGUAAAGCGCACGUAGGCGGAUCUUUAAGUCAGGGGUGAAAUCCUGGAGCUCAACUCCAGAACUGCCUUUGAUACUGAGGAUCUUGAGUCCGGGAGAGGUGAGUGGAACUCUCGGUGUAGCGGUGAAAUGCGUAGAUAUCGAGAGGAACACCUGCGGCGAAGGCGGGUUGCUGGGCUGACACUGACGCUGAGACGCGAAAGCGUGGGGAGCAAACAGG